AGAGUUUGAUCCUGGCUCAGAUUGAACGCUGGCGGCAGGCCUAACACAUGCAAGUCGAGCGGUAGAGAGAAGCUUGCUUCUCUUGAGAGCGGCGGACGGGUGAGUAAUGCCUAGGAAUCUGCCUGGUAGUGGGGGAUAGCGUUCGGAAACGGACGCUAAUACCGCAUACGUCCUACGGGAGAAAGCAGGGGACCUUCGGGCCUUGCGCUAUCAGAUGAGCCUAGGUCGGAUUAGCUAGUUGGUGAGGUAAUGGCUCACCAAGGCGACGAUCCGUAACUGGUCUGAGAGGAUGAUCAGUCACACUGGAACUGAGACACGGUCCAGACUCCUACGGGAGGCAGCAGUGGGGAAUAUUGGACAAUGGGCGAAAGCCUGAUCCAGCCAUGCCGCGUGUGUGAAGAAGGUCUUCGGAUUGUAAAGCACUUUAAGUUGGGAGGAAGGGUUGUAGAUUAAUACUCUGCAAUUUUGACGUUACCGACAGAACAAGCACCGGCUAACUCUGUGCCAGCAGCCGCGGUAAUACAGAGGGUGCAAGCGUUAAUCGGAAUUACUGGGCGUAAAGCGCGCGUAGGUGGUUUGUUAAGUUGGAUGUGAAAUCCCCGGGCUCAACCUGGGAACUGCAUUCAAAACUGACUGACUAGAGUAUGGUAGAGGGUGGUGGAAUUUCCUGUGUAGCGGUGAAAUGCGUAGAUAUAGGAAGGAACACCAGUGGCGAAGGCGACCACCUGGACUAAUACUGACACUGAGGUGUGAAAGCGUGGGGAGCAAACAGGAUUAGAUACCCUGGUAGUCC
rnacentral:rRNA from 1 species